AACGAACGCUGGCGGCAUGCCUAACACAUGCAAGUCGAACGAGACCUUCGGGUCUAGUGGCGCAGGGGUGCGUAACGCGGGGGAACCUGCCCUUAGGUUCGGAAUAACUCGCCGAAAGGGGUGCUAAUCCCGGAUAAUGUCUUAGGACCAAAGAUUUAUCGCCUUUGGAUGGGCCCGCGUUGGAUUAGCUAGAUGGUAGGGUAAAAGCCUACCAAGGCGACGAUCCAUAGCUGGUCUGAGAGGAUGAUCAGCCACACUGGGACUGGGACACGGCCCAGACUCCUACGGGAUGCAGCAGUGGGUAAUAUUGGCCAAUCGGCUAAAGCCUGAUCCAGCAAUGCCGCUUGAGUGAUGAAGUCCUUAGGGUUGUAAAGCUCUUUUACCCGGGAUGAUAAUGACAGUACCGGGAGAAUAAGCUCCGGCUAACUCCGUG
rnacentral:rRNA from 1 species